UACGAAGGGGGCUAGCGUUGUUCGGAAUUACUGGGCGUAAAGCGCGCGCAGGCGGCCGUUCAAGUCAGGGGUGAAAUCCCGGAGCUCAACUCCGGAAUUGCCUUUGAAACUGCUCGGCUCGAGUACGGAAGAGGUGAGUGGAAUUCCCAGUGUAGAGGUGAAAUUCGUAGAUAUUGGGAAGAACACCGGUGGCGAAGGCGGCUCACUGGUCCGUUACUGACGCUCAGGCGCGACAGCGUGGGGAUCAAACAGG
rnacentral:rRNA from 1 species